UUGCGGAGGGUUUGGUUUCCUAUAGGGGGCUCCUUUGGAGGUGUUUUCCCCUAAUUUGUCCAAAACCAGGACAAAUAAUUUGGUGGCCCGUACGGGGAAGCCCAGACAAAGUGGAAAAAACUUUAUUCUAAUAAUAUUUUUGGCUUUAACCGUUCUGCGGGAAUAUUGGUAUGUCUUUCUUUAAAGUUAUGAUGUCAUUGGGAGUGAAAGCCUGCCUCUAUUUGUGGUCAUUAGGGUUCUUCGAAGUUUUGAUCGCUUUAUGGUCCCUGGAGUUAUUUUCUUAUCCAGAAGUAGCUCCGACAUCGGACCUACUCCGGGCAGGAGCUCCCCCGGGGUCUGCGAAAGAAGCUGCGUACCCUCUGCGGCGAAGAGAGAUAGAGCUCAACCCCCUUGGACUGGUGAAAACAUCUGUGGUCAUCUUGGGCUAUUUCUCUUGUGCUGGGGAGUGUUUUUUCGUUGUGCCUUAAUAAACAAGUUUUUUCCACUUUC